AAAACAUAGCUUCCAAAACAACCAAUUUGUAGAGAUAGCUGACUACCUGGACAGUUUCUCAUCCCUCCAAACAUUGGAGCAUCAUCAGUCUUCAGCCUUUUGGUCCAGGAUCAUUUGAUAGACCUUUGUAAAGCAGGAUUAUGAAGGACUGCUUACCCCAUCUUGGCAGAGCUAUGUAUGGGUCGACUCAAAUAGAAAUGAUGAAAAAUAGUGUAUUGGCUGGUUUUGUGUGUCAACUUGACACAAGCUGGAGUUAUCACAGAGAAAGGAGCCUCAGUUGAGGAAAUGCCUCCAUUGAGACCCAGCUGUAAGGCAUUUUCUCAACUAGUGAUCAAGGGGGCAGGGCCCAUUGUGGAUAGUGCCGUCCUUGGGCUGGUGGUCUUGGGCUCUAUAAAAGACCAAGCUGAGGGUUGGGGAUUUAGCUCAGUGGUAGAGCGCUUGCCUAGCAAGCACAAGGCCCUGGGUUCGGUCCUCAGCUCAAAAAAAAAAAAAAAAAA
rnacentral:lncRNA from 1 species